rnacentral:rRNA from 1 species
AUUGAACGCUGGCGGCAUGCUUUACACAUGCAAGUCGAACGGUAACAGGCCGCAAGGUUCUGACGAGUGGCGCACGGGUGCGUAAUGCAUCGGAACGUGCCCAGUCGUGGGGGAUAACUACUCGAAAGAGUAGCUAAUACCGCAUACGAUCUAUGGAUGAAAGCGGGGGACCGUAAGGCCUCGAGCGAUUGGAGCGGCCGAUGUCAGAUUAGGUAGUUGGUGGGGUAAAGGCUCACCAAGCCAACGAUCUGUAGCUGGUCUGAGAGGACGACCAGCCACACUGGGACUGAGACACGGCCCAGACUCCUACGGGAGGCAGCAGUGGGGAAUUUUGGACAAUGGGCGCAAGCCUGAUCCAGCAAUGCCGCGUGCAGGAAGAAGGCCUUCGGGUUGUAAACUGCUUUUGUACGGAACGAAACGGCUCUGGUUAAUACCCGGGGCUAAUGACGGUACCGUAAGAAUAAGCACCGGCUAACUACGUG